ACAAUGGGCGCAAGCCUGAUGCAGCCAUGCCGCGUGUGUGAAGAAGGCCUUCGGGUUGUAAAGCACUUUCAGCGGGGAGGAAGGCGGUGAGGUUAAUAACCUCAUCGAUUGACGUUACCCGCAGAAGAAGCACCGGCUAACUCCGUGCCAGCAGCCGCGGUAAUACGGAGGGUGCAAGCGUUAAUCGGAAUUACUGGGCGUAAAGCGCA
rnacentral:rRNA from 1 species